GCUCUUCCCUCUGAAAUGACCUGCCUCCUCUUCUGUUUCUCCUUCAAAGCCCAGCUGGGGCCACUUCCUGGAAGACGCCUUCCCUGACUUCCAAGGCAAGGCCCUUGGUGCCCUCCUCCGAGUAUUAGCCCCUUAGAUUUUUAUCAUGUCUAAUUGCUGCACUCACAUCUAUCUGCCUUUUGGAUUACAAGCCUCUGAGGACAACUUCUCCAGUUCCUACUUGCAGAGUUACCGUAAAGAGCAAAUAAGCUCACAUCGGGCAGUGCCCUCGGAGAGCAGUCCAGUGCUGUGUGGGCAUGUAGGAUGGUCUCCGUGUCUGAACGUGGAGCGGCCAGCCCAGAUACAAUCUGACGACUGAGUCCUCAGAAGCCCCCAGGGAGAUGGGUUUCCUAACUCUGCCAUCAUAACAGUAGGUCCAGGAAAAAAGACCAUGGGAAAACGAAAGAGUGCUGUUGGAGAGUGAAAAGUGUAAGCACUGCCGUAAUGGGCCUGUAAGACCGACUUGUUAGCUGACGCCACCUGGGAGAAGAGGCUUUGAGACACAGAGCAGGAUCAGCGGGGUGAGUCUGAAAGCAGAGGUGGGUCAGGAGGUCCCUUGGCACCAGCUGCUUGUGACAAAGGGGCAGGAAGAAGGAAGCCAAGGAGGGAAAAGGAGGUGAGGCCAGAACAGGCAGAGCAACAUCUCUGGCUCAGCCAGGGGUGUGCGCCCCAAGGGAAGAGGCAGCGGCCUCGCACUACCCCCAGCCCUUGGCGGCUACAGGGGAAUAUGGGCCUCACUGGCCAGACUUUUUUAUUUUUUAUUUUUGGAUAAACCAACCAGCUUUUUUGUAUGUCAGCAACAAAUUUAAUAAUUUUUAAACACUCGUGGGCCUGCACAGUACAAGCUAAAUGAAAUAUCUAUGGGCCCCCUUCAGCCACCAAGAAAAAUGAAGGAAGAGACUGCCAAGGCCAUAUUUGCUUCCGGGGCAGCUAAAACCCUGGAUUGCCAGCUCAACACAGAGUAUUUAAACAGUGAGAGGGCUUAAUCAAACCCUUUGAGUUCCACCCACAAUAGUAAUAGCCUCUUUGCAGCUCAGUUCCCUAGCUUGACCUUGAAAACAGUUUAAAGUUCAAUCCAUUCUUUUCUCUUUUUCCUCUUCUUCCAGCUCAAACAAAACUAAAUCACAAGUCUUCCUAGGAAACUCUCUCUGCAGAGGCAGCACUUAAUUCUAGAGAAGACUUUGCCUCCAUGUCAUUAGUCAAGAAGGUUCCAGAUGGGUUCCCGAGCCAGCAAUGUUUUGAACUUGGACAAAAGCCCUGAAUGACCGUGGGCAAAGUAUCUAGCCUAUCUGAUUUCCUUCUUUUCCUAGUUAAGAAAAACUAUUAUACUGGAUGGGGGAGGGGGCAGAGCACAAAACCAAGAGGGCCAGA
rnacentral:lncRNA from 1 species